GCGAUUAGUAGCCACUUAAAUUUAGCUAUGUUUUCGGAAAUUGGAGAUUUGCAUUGUAUGCUUAAUUUUUGGAAGCCACUGUACUUUAUUAUUAUCAUUUCUGCUUUUGUUUUAAUUUUCUAGUUUAAACUUAUCUAUGUAAAGAAGAAUUCUUAUCUCUCUUAAAUGCUCAAUUUUAAAUAGAUGGGUCUGCCUAUGACUUAUGAGGUACAGUUCAUCUGUGACCACUGGCAUGGUAUUGCCAGAAUUCCUAAAGCUUACUUCCCUCCUCGUAUACGUCGUUUUAAUGCGUACGCUAUUCAUGGAACAGGCGAAGGUCGUCAUUAUGAAGCUUUAUAUCCGGUGCCAAGAAAUCAGUUUGAGCAACCAGACACUCAUCGGUUAGAAAAAUUUGGGUACCUUUCAUUCUCAGGUCGUAUUCGAUGUAGGCCAUUCCCUUACCCUGUCUGAUGUAUGGCGUGAAGCUGUAGAAAAUCAUGAAAAAGUAUUAACCUGCAAGGCUAGUGAUACCAAAUGAAGUAAUUUUGUUCAUUGAAGUGCAGUAAG